rnacentral:lncRNA from 1 species
GCUGCCUUCAGGAGACUCAUAUGAUAGGAAAAGACAUACACAGGCUGAAGGUGAAAGGUUGGGAAAAAUCAUACCACUCACAUGGCCCUCGGAAGCAAGCAGGAGUGGCCAUACUCAUAUCAAAUAAAAUCAACUUCAAACCUAAGUUAAUCAAAAGGGAUGAAGAAGGACACUAUAUACUGUUAAAAGGAACCAUCCACCAACAAGACAUAACAAUUAUCAAUUUGUAUGCACCAAACAAUGGAGCUGCAACGUUCAUAAAACAAACUCUCCUCAAGUUCAAGAGUCAAAUAGACUACAACACAAUAAUUAUGGGUGACUUCAACACACCGCUCUCACCAUUAGACAGAUCCUCUAGACAAAAGCUGAAUAAAGAAACUAUAGAACUCAAUAGCACAAUCAAUAACCUAGACUUAACCGACAUAUAUAGAAUAUAUCAACCAUCAUCAAGUGGAUACACAUUCUUCUCAGCAGCACAUGGAUC